rnacentral:rRNA from 1 species
AUGAGUCAACCUGAUGGGAUCAACAUCCCUGACGGAAAGUUCUACCUUGGAGAUGCUGGCUAUGCAUGUCGGCCGGGUAUUCUUCCACCCUUCAGGAAAACCAGGUACCAUCUCAAUGAGUUCUCUGGUAGGAACUAUCCUAGGACUGCACAUGAGCUAUUUAAUCUCAGACACUCCAGCCUUAGAGUAACUGUUGAGAGGGCAUUUGGAGCUCUGAGGAAUAGGUUUAAGAUCCUGGAUCAGAAGCCAUUCCAUCCAUACUCCACUCAGGUUAAGCUUGUUCUUGCUUGUUGCAUCCUGCAUAACUGGAUCCUCCAGUGGGGCUUUGAUGGACACGUGUGA